UUGGGUAGAUGAGGGUGCAUUUUUCUGGGAGGAGUCUAAGGCUUCGCUCUGACUCCCAAAGGCUAAAGAGCCCGCCCCGGGAGGCAGGACGCGAGGCCGGCCGCGGGAAAGAGCCCUGGCUGUCCCUCCCGGCCUAGCGCUACCUCUUUGAUCUCAUCCUCCUUGUGGCGGCGAGAGUCACCAAAGAUUUGCAACGGUAGGAUUGCCCGUGCCAGCUUCCGGAAAUGAGCAUCCGCUCCCUCUCCCGGGAGUGGGCGUGGGGUUCACCGAGAGGAGAGACCUUGCGUUUGCGCCGGGCCUGCUCGGUGCCAGGCCAUCCCAGGCUUCAGUCUACCCUGGUUUCCGGUCUACGCGUUGUGGGUAGCAGCAUUGGCGUGUUGCGCCUCGGGGAGCAAGCUGAGCGAGGAUCCAAAAGGUGCGCAAUAGCUGGAGAGGAAGGGGCGAUGCCUCACCUGGCCCCCUCCCUGAGGCUCCAUCCAGCCCAGAAAAAAGGAGCUGCUUUCUCCCCCACCUACCCGAGGAUAAAUAAUCGGGCGCUGACAUUU